rfam:Oryza sativa (indica cultivar-group) chromosome 3, whole genome shotgun sequence.
AAUAAGUGCAGUUUUGCAUUAUUCACGUUCAACGUUUGACCGUUCGUUUUAUUUGAAAAUUUUUUAUGAUUAGUAUUUUUAUUGCUACUGGAUGAUAAAAUAUGAAUAGUAUUUUAUGUGUGACUAAAUAUUUUUAAUUUUUUCACAAAUUUUUCAAAUAAGACGAAUGGUCAAACGUUGAGCACGGAUAUGUACAGCUGCACUUAUU